CACGGGGGGAGCAAGCGUUGUUCGGAAUCACUGGGCGUAAAGGGCGUGUAGGCGGUCAGGUAAGUGAGAUGUGAAAUGCCCCGGCUCACCCGGGGACCGGCAUCUCAUACUGCUUGGCUUGAGUACGGGAGAGGAUGUGGGAAUUCCUGGUGUAGCGGUGAAAUGCGUAGAUAUCGAGAGGAACACCUGCGGCGAAGGCGGGUUGCUGGGCCGACACUGACGCUGAUGCGCGAAAGCCAGGGGAGCGAACGGG
rnacentral:rRNA from 2 species